AUUUACAUGCAAAAAACAACAUAAGUCACGGAAAAGCAAAUCAUGCCAAAACAGGGAGUCCAUAAACAGUUUGGGAAUUAUUAGGGAAUGAUGCGCAGGGCCCGUGCCUGGCGAUGGGCACACGUUUAGAAACAGUGAGAGGAAAACAAUGGAGAAGUUGUGUUUGUGAAGAUUUGGGGCCAAAGAAGAAGAAGAAAAAAAACUUGUAUCGCUUUCCCACUUGGCACGGAUACGGUUUCGGGAGUCGACAACAUGUUAAACUGCAGAUGGACCACAACUAAGAAAAGGUGCUUGGAUGUGUAACAGCUACCCGUGGAGUUUCCAAUGCGUGUGUGAGAGCCGUAACAAAAGACAUGAACAAUGGCAGAAAGCGAGGAGAAGAAUGCGGCUGUGUAUCGCAGCGUCUCUUUCAGAAAGCUGGGGCCCUGGGUCGCCAACAGGAGGGAAGAGCAGCCACACAAAUCAGGGGAUUUGGAGGCAGUUGGCGUCGCCCUUCCCCCGGAGCCCAGCAAAGCAGAGCAGCCCUUGACGACGACGACGCGUAAUGUCAGUGUGUCAAGAAAAGUUUCCAAAAUCUCUGCCACCACCGCCAGCCUCCUAACCGCAGAGCCAAAGAGAGGCUCUCCCUCUCUUCUCUCCUUCAUUUCUCCAUCCAUCCGCGAGCUGACUGAGAAGUUCAGCAACAGCAGGAGGAGUAACAGCAGCGGCUCCGCCAGGACGCACACAGCCUCGCCGGGAGACUGUGCAGCGGACACGCGGGGGAGCAGCACUUUUCCCCGGGCCCGAGGCUCCAGGAGUGACAGGGUUCCACCUGGGAAAACUUUUCACGAGGACAGCGGCGGUGUCGGUGGUGGAUAUUUCCAGGACAGUGACAGCGCAACAGCAGAGGCGCUUAAGUUUCACUCGGGCACCGACUCUGUGUCAGGCUCAGACUCGGACAGGAAAAGCGACAAGCGGAUUUUUAGAAGUUUAUCAAGCGACAGCGGCGGCAAGUCGGGUAAGAGAGAC
ensembl:lncRNA